rnacentral:rRNA from 1 species
UACAGAGGGUGCGAGCGUUGUUCGGAAUUAUUGGGCGUAAAGGGUGCGUAGGCGGCGCGGUAAGUCGGGUGUGAAAUCUCGGGCUUAACUCCGAAACUGCAUUCGAUACUGCCGUGCUUGAGGACUGGAGAGGAGACUGGAAUUUACGGUGUAGCGGUGAAAUGCGUAGAUAUCGUAAGGAAGACCAGUGGCGAAGGCGGGUCUCUGGACAGUUCCUGACGCUGAGGCACGAAGGCCAGGGGAGCAAACGGG